AGUGAACGCUGGCGGUAGGCCUAACACAUGCAAGUCGAACGGCAGCACAGUAAGAGCUUGCUCUUACGGGUGGCGAGUGGCGGACGGGUGAGGAAUACAUCGGAAUCUACUUUUUCGUGGGGGAUAACGUAGGGAAACUUACGCUAAUACCGCAUACGACCUACGGGUUAAAGCAGUGGAUCUUCGGACCUUGCCCGAUUGAAUGAGCCGAGUUCGGAUUAGCUAGUUGGCGGGGUAAAGGCCCACCAAGGCGACGAUCCGUAGCUGGUCUGAGAGGAUGAUCAGCCACACUGGAACUGAGACACGGUCCAGACUCCUACGGGAGGCAGCAGUGGGGAAUAUUGGACAAUGGGCGCAAGCCUGAUCCAGCCAUACCGCGUGGGUGAAGAAGGCCUUCGGGUUGUAAAGCCCUUUUGUUGGGAAAGAAAAGCAGCAGGUUAAUACCCCGCUGUUCUGACGGUACCCAAAGAAUAAGCACCGGCUAACUUCGUG
rnacentral:rRNA from 1 species